GUGAGGAAUAUUGCGCAAUGGAGGCAACUCUGACGCAGCCAUGCCGCGUGCAGGAAGAAGGCGCUACGCGUUGUAAACUGCUUUUAACCGGGAAGAAACCCCAGGACGUGUCCUGGGUUGACGGUACCGGAGGAAUAAGCACCGGCUAACUUCGUGCCAGCAGCCGCGGUAAUACGAAGGGUGCAAGCGUUAUCCGGAUUCAUUGGGUUUAAAGGGUGCGUAGGCGGAGCGUUAAGUCAGUGGUGAAAUCCUGCAGCUUAACUGUAGACUUGCCAUUGAUACUGGCGCUCUUGAGUGCGCUGGAAGUGGGCGGAAUGUGCCGUGUAGCGGUGAAAUGCUUAGAUAUGGCACAGAACACCAAUUGCGAAGGCAGCUCACUAAGGCGAUACUGACGCUGAGGCACGAAAGCGUGGGGAUCGAACAGGAUUAGAAACCCCUGUAGUCC
rnacentral:rRNA from 1 species